CUGGCUCAGGACGAACGUUGGCGGCGUGCCUAAUACAUGCAAGUCGAACGAGGUCUCCUAACUGAUAGCUGGUGCUUGCAUCAGCUUGACGAUAGAUCUGACCGAGUGGCGAACUGGUGAGUAACACGUGGGUAACCUGCCCAGAAGAAGGGGAUAACACCUGGAAACAGAUGCUAAUACCGUAUAACAACGAGAACCACAUGGUUCUCGUUUGAAAGAUGGCUU
rnacentral:rRNA from 1 species